UAAAAAUAUUAAUUGCAAACUAGAAAUACUGAGUCUGAAGAACAACUGUAUCACAGAAGGAGGUUGUCAUGUUCUGGCUGCAGCUCUAAAUUCAAACGCUUCAAUUCUGACAGAGCUGGAUCUGAGCAGGAAUAAAAUAGGAGACUCUGGAUUGACAGAAAUCUCCAGCCUGCUGAGAAAUUCACAGACACUACAGAUACUGAGGCUUUCAGACUGCAGUAUCACUGAAGAAGGUUAUAAAGCUCUGUCUUCAGCUCUGAGAUCAAACCC